GCAAUUGGGACAAAUAUUCAGCACAGUAGGAUAACCUGAGAGCUUACUCACAGAUACUCCUAUCCAUCUACACUGAAUUUCCCUGCUUCUAUUUCCAUUUCUGAUUUUGUGGGUAAACGAUGUUGCUACUGAUUUUCUUGCUCAUACGUUAUUAUCGUUUUCUAGCAUUAGUAAUACGUAGGUCACAGCAUUAUUUAGCACAAAGUUCUUACGGAUUUUGUUUGUUCUGUUAUUUUUGGGGGUUUUUUUAAUGCUAAAAGAAAAGAAUCAAAGUCAACUACUUUAAAGUCAUCUAAUUAAAGUCACCUACUAAUUUACUGGAAGAUCUGAUAUAUAAAAAUACAUAAUUUUUUCAUCAUCAACAAAGUCUGUUGAAUUGGGUUUUGGAAAUAGUUUUUGUGUUCUUACAUUGAUCCAUCAGCAUAAAAGACUUUCUUCCUCUUCCACACUAGUACAUUAGUAACUUAAGAAAUGCAAGUGCCAAUGUGACAUUUGGGGGAAGAUGGAGGAAAUCACAGGUAGGACUGACUUUAGGAAGAAUCUGAGCUAGUUGCUGAGAGCACUGGGACUAGCUAGCUGACCUGCUUUGACAAUGUCAAAAUUGGGCCAACGAUGGCCAAAAAAAAAGAGUAUGCUUGGAGAGAUAGCACCCAUCUUUGCUUUAUCAUCACAAACUCCUGCCAAAGUACCAUUCUCGACAUAAUCCUUAUACAAGAAACUCCUAGCAGGGUUUGUUUCCUACAAUUUUUACUCUAAAUCUGGGAUUUGUAGGCACUGUAGCAUAGUCCCAUCUUUCACCCAACUCAGUUUCAUUUCAUUGCAGUAACUCAAAGUAUAUCACACAGAAAGAUGGAAGUAGACCUCCUUUGUGUCAACCCCUAAAGAUUACCAGUGUGCCUGGAAUACCCAGCUUCUACUUAAUAACUUUUAGUUACUUACAGUAUAGAAAUGUAUCAUGUCUGCCAGAUUUUGUUGAUAGUAUUAGCCUUCAGUUUCUCCAAAAACAAGUUUUAUAUAUGAUAUCAACACUGUUUUUUGGACCUGUUUUCUCAUGUAGAAAAUAGAUAAUAAAGGCCAUGUAAAUGCAAACACCUGCAACCCUCGUCUCCCAAUUUUCUGCAGAAAUACCCAUAGAAACAUUCAAAUAAAAAAAAACAUUUGUCAUGCAUAGAAACUUAACAGUAGUGGAAACUAGAAGGAAUUUUUGCUAAAUAAAGCAGCAAGGGGUAGAUUUUUUACAAAUUGCUGACUCAAAUUUCACACUGAAGCAAUUUGUCAGUAAAGAGAGGCGAUACCUUGGCUUCCCAUCUUCUAACUCCUUGUUAAUCCGUAUGAGAAGACUAGUUAAGACAGCCACUGAGAAUCCCAUCAGAAGAGGCUGCAUUCUGCGUUGCUUCACUGGUAGCACUGAAGCUGCACCACCUUGGAGCUUUUCUUCAGCACAGUUGGCAUUCCCUUGGGCAGGGGUGUCAUAAAAGACCCCUCCUCUGACCAGAAGAGUAAUGCUGAAUGACAAAGGCAGAAUAAGCGACCCAAAAGCUCUCUUAGCUUCUACCCUUUGGCAGACUUAGAAUAUGUACAGCAGGAUUUAAAAAGAAAAUGUAAGUGUGUUUUCCAGCCUUUGUCCUAAGAACUUUUGGUUUUAUUGCAAGGAAAUUUCUUACCCUCUACUACCCUAAGCCUAGAUCUGAUGGGCCUCCUUGGGUUUCCUGGAGGAAUGAAAUGAGUCUGUUUCUGACCACCUGCUAGAUAUUACCUGAGCACUUGAGUGGACUGAAAAGAGCUAAGAGCAACCCACAGAGUCUGCCAGUUCUGCAUUGGCCUAGCUAAAUCUAACCUCACUGAGAAACGAGUAACUAGUGGACAAGAAAUUUGAACCAGCACUUCACAAAGGAGGCCAAGAAAGGAUUCAGCAUCCAUCGGUGCUUCUCAGUGUCAUCCUUGUAAGGCUGAGGAGACAAGUGGAACCAAUGCAGACAUGAAGCCCGGACUGUGUGUUGUGCUAGAUGAUAACUUCCUUCGUCUCUGGCCCAGGGUUUUUGUGUCUUCUGCCACAUCCAUGGAACUAUGGCAGGCUAACUUGUUAUCUUGCAAGUAAGGUCUGCAGGCCAGCGUGAGCAGCAUCAGGUGGCAAUGGCUGAAACUACUCUGCUUCACAUCACAGGUCUGCAGACAGGUGGGGCAGUUCUGCUCCAUAAAUAUUUAUGCUGGGGCCCAGGUUGAAGGGUAGCAGCUACCCCAGGGAAAACUCUUUUCGUAGAGGCGACAGAAAUACAAAAGGGUAAGCCCCAUUAGACAAGCACAGUUUUAGACCCUGCUUUCAUCGUAUCUACUAACAUCCCACUGACCAAUGCAAGUCCCAUGGGUGAGCCUACGUAUACUGUCUUUUGUAAAAAGAGCUUCAGUUACAACAGUAUAGGAUACGGGUACAGGGAGGGGAGAAGACUCGAGGUCGGUAAUUUAUCACAUUCUCCAUGUUUUGGUUUUUUACUUUUUAUUAUAUAAAAUUUAUUAUGAAAAAUUUCAAACAUGUAAUGUACACAGAUUUGCAUAAUGACCUUUUCCACAGUGAUGCAUGGGAUGAUGGUUGCAAGCCGAGCUUCUGCCUUCCUGCCUGCACAAGCAUGCAGCUUUCUAAGAAGUAGUCAGCGGCAGCCUUUCAAAGUGUCCUUGUGAAGGAUGGGGGUAAACGAGGAUCAGCAGUCCUCGUUUUAUGCAGUAAACUUGUCUCUGAUCUCCAUCUCAUUUAGGGCACUUUUAUUCUCUGCUCUCCGAAAGGAUAUGGACUCUCAAGUUGCUUCUACUUAUUUCAUGACCCAGGGCCCAGCGGGCCCAUGGCUCCAACUGUUACUUUCUUCAUUGUAUUUAUUUUCUGUUCCUGGCUCACCAAAAUGUUUAUCUUAUUGGACAAAGUUGUGCCAUUUUUUUUUAAGCUGUGUAUUUUUUCUUUUGUAUAUUAUGUAUCAUGGCCAUGGAUUUGGAGCAGGGGGAUACCUUGAACCUUCAACAUUCAACAGCAUUGCCACCCAAAGCCCUAGAAUCCUAAAUGAAGUUUCUCUUUAAUUUACUGUGAUGGUUUUUAAAAAAUAAAACCUGUUUACAGCGUCUCUUGGCACUUGAGCACGCCUAACUUUAGUACAUUACAAAAAAAAUAGUUUCCUGAAGGAUAAGCAUCAAUAUUCAAAUUCAGUACAUUUUAAAAAGGGAUCAGGCAAAUUAUAUAAAAGGAACGUAGAAAAUAAUUCUCUAUUCUUGCCAGUAAAUCUGACCAUUUAGAUAAACUACUUUUAUAUUAUAUUAUUAAAAUUUAUAAUUUAAUAUUAAAUAUUACUAUAUUUUAUCACAGCCUGGUUAUCCCAUUUUCAUCUCUAUGUCUUACCCAAAUUUUUAUUUCUUUUUUGACAUUUUAUUGUAUAAAAUUUAUUGUAGAAAAUUUCAAAUAUAUAGUAUACACAGAAGAGUGGAAUGACCUCAAUGUAUCCAUGAUUGUACUUCAUAAUUUAUUAAUCAUGGUAAUAAUUCCCAGGGGCUGGAAAACUAUUGGGCUGUCGGAAAAGUCAUGACUUAUUUUGUCUAUGUUUUUCAAAGGUCAUUUAUUUAUAUAAAGA